CCCUCGACUUCAAGUGCUGCGGCGUCGAUUUCCAAUUCAGAAUCAGAAGAAAUGCCUCUAGGUGCUGCUCCUCCACCUCCACCGCCGCCACCACUGCCAGAUGCUGGCCUCACAUCUGCUGACGAUUCUGAUUUUCCUUUGCCCAUGCCUCCACCUCCACCCCCACCUCCCCCAACUCAACCAAAACUCUCCCGUGAUUCGAGCUUGCCAUUACCUCCACAAUUAAUACCUCCACCGCCUCCGGGGCCGCCGCCAAAGGAAAAUAUUGGGAUUCGCCCCAUGAUGCCUCCGCUUCCUCCACCACCUGCUCAACCACCU
rnacentral:lncRNA from 1 species